UACGUAGGUGGCAAGCGUUGUCCGGAUUUAUUGGGUUUAAAGGGUGCGUAGGCGGCUUUGUAAGUCAGUGGUGAAAUACUCCAGCUUAACUGGAGGGGUGCCAUUGAUACUGCGGAGCUUGAGUACAGAUGAGGUAGGCGGAAUUGACGGUGUAGCGGUGAAAUGCAUAGAUAUCGUCAAGAACACCGAUAGUGAAGACAGCUCACUAAGCUCAAACUGACGCUGAGGCACGAAAGUGUGGGGAGUCAAACAGG
rnacentral:rRNA from 1 species